GUCGAACGGCAGCACAAAGCUUAGGCUGAGGUGGCGAGUGGCGAACGGGUGAGUAACGCGUCGGAACAAACCGAGUAAUGGGGGAUAACGCAGCGAAAGUUGUGCUAAUACCGCAUAAUCUUUGAGAAGGAAAGCUAGGGACCAGCAAUGGCCUGGCGUUAUUCGAUUGGCUGGCGUCUGAUUAGCUAGUUGGUGGGGUAAAAGCUCACCAAGGCAACGAUCAGUAGCGGGUCUGAGAGGACGAUCCGCCACACUGGGACUGAGACACGGCCCAAACUCCUACGGGAGGCAGCAGUGGGGAAUUUUGGACAAUGGGCGAAAGCCUGAUCCAGCAAUGCCGCGUGUCUGAAGAAGGCCUUCGGGUUGUAAAGGACUUUAGUCUAGGAGCAAAGCCUAUUGGUAAAUAGCCAAUGGGGCUGAGAGUACUGGAAGAAUAAGCACCGGCUAACUACGUGCCAGCAGCCGCGGUAAUACGUAGGGUGCGAGCGUUAAUCGGAAUAACUGGGCGUAAAGAGUGCGUAGGCGGUGAGACGAGCUCGAUGUGAAAUGCCUGGGCUUAACCUAGGAAUGGCAUUGAAGACAGUUUGACUAGAGUCUGUCAGAGGGGGGUAGAAUUCCACGGGGAGCAGUGAAAUGCGUAGAGACGUGGAGGAAUACCGAUGGCGAAGGCAGCCCCCUGGGAUAAGACUGACGCUGAGGUACGAAAGGCGUGGGGAGCAAACAGGAUUAGAUACCCUGGUAGUCCACGCCCUAAC
rnacentral:rRNA from 1 species